CCUACGGGGGGCUGCAGUGAGGAAUUUUGCGCAAUGGGGGAAACCCUGACGCAGCAACGCCGCGUGAGUGAUGAAGGCUUUCGGGUCGUAAAGCUCUGUCAAGUGGGAAGAACCCACAUAGUGUUAAUAUCACUAUGUGUUGACGGUACCACUGAAGGAAGCACCGGCUAACUCCGUGCCAGCAGCCGCGGUAAUACGGGGGGUGCGAGCGUUAUUCGGAAUUACUGGGCGUAAAGAGCGCGUAGGCGGUCUCUUAAGUCAGGUGUGAAAGCCCGGGGCUCAACCCCGGAAGUGCAUUUGAAACUAAGGGACUUGAGUAUGGGGGAGGGAAGUGGAAUUCCUGGUGUAGCGGUGAAAUGCGUAGAUAUCAGGAGGAACACCGGUGGCGAAGGCGACUUCCUGGACCAAUACUGACGCUGAGGCGCGAAGGCGUGGGGAGCAAACAGGAUUAGAUACCCUUGUAGUC
rnacentral:rRNA from 1 species